rnacentral:rRNA from 1 species
GGCGAACGGGUGCGUAAUGCAUGGGAAUCUGCCUAGUAGUGGGGAAUAACCCGGCGAAAGCCGGGCUAAUGCCGCAUACGACCUACGGGUGAAAGCGGGGGAUCGCAAGACCUCGCGCUAUUAGAUGAGCCCAUGUCGGAUUAGCUAGUUGGUAGGGUAACGGCCUACCAAGGCGACGAUCCGUAGCUGGUCUGAGAGGACGGCCAGCCACACUGGGACUGAGACACGGCCCAGACUCCUACGGGAGGCAGCAGUGGGGAAUUUUGGACAAUGGGGGCAACCCUGAUCCAGCGACGCCGCGUGUGUGAAGAAGGCCUGCGGGUUGUAAAGCACUUUCGUUGGGAACGAAAUAUGCCGACCUAAUACGUCGGUAGGCUGACGUUACCCAAAUAAGAAGCACCGGCUAACUCUGUGCCAGCAGCCGCGGUAAUACAGAGGGUGCGAGCGUUAAU